GAUUUAUGCCCUAUCAAGUGGACAGUGAGUCUCCUCAUGUGCAAGAGAGAAAAACCCCAAACGAGAAGAGUUUAAGCAGCUUGUCCACAUCCAUGAUGGGUACCUCCUUUUUCUGAAUGUAAGGCUGAGAGUCUCCAUCACAAUUC